rnacentral:rRNA from 1 species
UACGGAGGAUCCAAGCGUUAUCCGGAUUUAUUGGGUUUAAAGGGUGCGUAGGCGGCCUGUUAAGUCAGGGGUGAAAGACGGUAGCUCAACUAUCGCAGUGCCCUUGAUACUGAUGGGCUUGAAUGUACUAGAGGUAGGGCGGAAUGUGACAAGUAGCGGUGAAUGCAUAGAUAUGUCACAGAACACCAAUUGCGAAGGCAGCUUACUAUGGUAUGAUUGACGCUGAGGCACGAAGCGUGGGAGUCAAACAGG